AGAACGAACGCUGGCGGCAGGCUUAACACAUGCAAGUCGAACGGUUGUAGCAAUACAGCAGUGGCAGACGGGUGAGUAACACGUGGGAACCUUCCUAGGGGUACGGAACAACUCAGGGAAACUUGAGCUAAUACCGUAUACGUCCGUGAGGAGAAAGAUUUAUCGCCCCUAGACGGGCCCGCGUAGGAUUAGGUAGUUGGUGAGGUAACGGCUCACCAAGCCUACGAUCCUUAGCUGAUCUGAGAGGAUGAUCAGCCACACUGGGACUGAGACACGGCCCAGACUCCUACGGGAGGCAGCAGUGGGGAAUCUUGGACAAUGGGCGCAAGCCUGAUCCAGCCAUGCCGCGUGAGUGAAGAAGGCCUUCGGGUUGUAAAGCUCUUUUACCAGGACGAUAAUGACGGUACUGGAGAAUAAGCCCGACUAACUUCGCGCAGACAGCCG
rnacentral:rRNA from 1 species